UGAGUUUCCCUGCUUCCCCUUUCCUUGGGGCACUGCUUGGUCCAGGCCCUAAUGAGUUCUGAAUGUUCAACUACAGGUCCUCCCACCAACCUCUGAGAAGAGAACAGGACAACCCAAUACCCCCAGAAAACUGGAAGUGUUUCAACAAAAUUACAUUUCUGAACGUGCAAAGUUUGGAACCAAUGCCACAGGGUAACUUUGUGAAGGUGUGGACCAUUUUCUGAAACCAACUUAAGGCACCAGCUCAUAUUGGAAGGAGUUUCUGUGCACAAGCUCUCUCUUUGCCAGCUGCCAUCCACGUAAGAUGUGACUUGCUCCUCCUUGCCUUCCACCAUGAUUGUGAGGCCUUCCCAGCCAUGUGGAACUCAAGGCAAUGUACUUCUAUAGAAGGGUGCACCCUCACAGAUGGAGCAAUGGGUCUGGGCUGUGGCCCUUAAGCAGCAGCUCACCCACCAUCACCCCCAGGCUGUACCUACGUCGGAGACUUCGAUAGCGUUUAGGAAGGAAGCUCUGGCUUGCCCCCAUCGAUACUCAGGCAUCAACUCAUCCAUGGUGGCACCAUGUUUACAGGGCCACCAGUGGCCGGGGGUGUCUUGGGAAGACCAGACCAGUGGAAGCCUCAGUUAAAGUUUCCCUUCUAGGCUGUUAGUUGGCGGAGACAGGACUGUUUAGUGGCUGAAGCUGGGUGGCACAGCAUACCGAGUGUUCCUUGGCCUGCAGCCCAGAAGCCCCUGGUGCUCGAUUUUCCUGGACCACAGUGUGUCUUGCUCACUGAAACCCUUAUAGAACAAACAGCUGGAAAGUUGUUUGCUGAGCCCAACCUGGGAUUGGGACAGCAAGAGAACUUGUGUGGACAGCCCUUUCAUUCUAAAGGGUUUUUCUUCCCAUGUUGGGCACUUCCUGCAGCUCCCAAUCCAAUAACCAUGUCAACUGUCCACAGAUCCCAGGAUACCGAGUCUCUGGUCCCAUCAGUUCCAUUAAUCUAUUGUAUGAACUUGAACCAGUCACACCCUCUCUGCACUAUCAGCUCCUCUCCUGUGGAAGGAGCCUAUUGUCAGUGAUUUUUCAGCAGCAGAGCUCUUUUUAAAUAAUUCUACUGAAGUUUUCCAGCAAAACCCCAAAAUAAAAUCAAUGCAAUAAAGGCUUUCCUCAGGAAGUUUAAUUCUUCCAAGGUUGACUGGUACAUGUCAAUGUUUGCCAAACCCCACAUGCAUCUAUAAGGUCCUAGGGAACAGAGUUUGAAAAUUAUGGGGCCUGCUCAAAGUCUUUUUUUAAAAUUUGGAAAUGCCAUAUCUAAGAUGUUUUCGAGCAAUUUCCUCUAGGUCUCCCAUUAGUUCACACAUUAACUGCAACUGCAAGGAAGUCCACCUCUCUGAGGCAUUUAUUGAAGCCUCCUGCUUACACAGAACAGUACUAGAUGCUGCAAAGGGAAAUAGCCAUGGCCUCCAAUUUCCAUGGCCUCCAAUUUAGGGUUAUGGUUGACCUGGGGUGUCAAAGAGGAAAGGAACCUUGGACAUAUUCUAAUCCUGUAUUUAUAACCUAUUCUAACCCAUGGCCUCUUUCUGAUACAUAUAAAAAUCUCACAGGCUCAGAGCUUUUGAUGUAAUCCCCACCAAUGGUUUGAGAAAGCUUUUGUACAGCUUUGCCUUCUGUAAAUUAUAUUAUGAAAACAAUAGAUAUUUUUUUUUAUGUUCCAUACAAAAAUUAUGUAACAGUGUAUUAUUGACUUGGCGCGGUGGCUCAUGGCCUGUAAUCCCAGCACUUUGGGAGGCCAAGGCGGGUCGAUCAGGAGGUCAAGAGAUCAAGACCAUCCUAGCCAACAUGGUGAAACCCCAUCUCUACUAAAAAGACAAAUAAUUAGCUGGACGUGGUGGCACACACCUGUAGUCCCAGCUACUCAGCAGGCUGAGGCAGGAGGAUGGCUUGAACCUGGGAGGUGGGGCUUGCAGUGAGCCGAGAUUGCGCCAUUGCACUCCAGCCUGGGGACAGAGCGAGACUCUGUCUCAAAAAAUAUAAAUAAAUAAGUAAAAUAAAGAGUGUAUUAUUGACCUUGCAUUUUCCAAAAUAUGUACGUGCUACCCCAAAGAAUGUGAUACACUUCCUUCAUCCCCUGCUUUCCACCUUUACCCCACCGUCAUCUAUUGACAAUAACUGACUCCGUUCAUUCUUUUUCAUUUAUACUUGCACCUUGGUUUCCUCAACUAUAAAAUGUGAGGACAUACUAUGGGGAGUUGGAGCAGGGGAUUGGUGAGGAUACAGGUGAAACAAGGUUGGCCUUGAGUAGAUAACUGUUGAAACUGGGUGAUGGGCACAUAGGGAUUCAUUAACUCUUCUUUCCAUUUUUAUGUUAUGAAAUUUUCUAUAAUAAAAAGGUUAACAUGAUGGUAAUUUAUAUAAUAAAAACAUUAAAAUGGAGAUAAUGUUAUUGAU